ACAACUCGGCAGAGGCCUCUGAGAUUGGGAAAACCCGCUGGAUGAGCCUUUUGUUUUAGAUUGAGGUAAUUCGAUCUAAAGGAUGCACCGUGAGGAGGCGGCAUGCCGUGUCAUAUUCAUCUGUUUGCCGAAUGGAGAGUAGUGAGGGAUGUUUCCGAAGCUGUUGUCAGAAGAAAGGGACAAGUCAUGAAGUUUCCUACAAGUACAAGUUACAACAAGGCAAAAAGUGACUACUAUUCAGAAGCAGUUUUUCCAGUACUGCAGAUUUCCAGGAGUUGCUGUUGAUGGGACACAUGUUUACAUCAGGAGCCCUGGUGGGGCAAGAGCCAGGUACUACUUUAAUAGGAAGAACAGGUACUCCAUCGAUGUUCAGGUUGUCUGUGAUUAUGCUGGGAAAAUAACUAGUAUCGUUGCAAGGUGGCCUGGACUGGUAGCAGCCACGAUGCCAGGAUCUUUUCUGAGUGUGCACUGAAUUGAGAGCUUCAUGCUAGGGCAUAUGAAUAACAGUUGAUUCUUGGAGAUAGACUAUAGGGUAUCCAUGCCUUCCCUGCCUCAUCAGAAGCCAUUUCUUCAUUCAGAGGGUCGACCACAGAUGUGCUUUAAAGGCCAUCUGUACUAGUUCAGCCAAAGAGGAUUAGACAACCCAGCGAGGUCACUGACGGGAGGCUAUCUCAU
rnacentral:lncRNA from 1 species